UCACCAGAUUUGCAUGUGGUUUGCUGUAGUUGCGUGUCCCAAGUUACAUUUUUUGCUGCUCCCAAAUAAACGCGUUUUGUUGGUAAAUAAUUUGCUGUUCUGUUGUUUUAAGUUAACGCUACAUGGAGGUCCCACAGAGAUCCAGAGAAGAACGCUGACAACUCCGAGGCUGGUGAACAAACAGGUGUCGCUACCUUGGAGCCCACGGAACUCCUGCUUUCUUGCUGACCCUGAAAUCUGAGGGAAAUGAAGACCUUAAGCAUCACACCUUACAACCUGAAUAUUCCAUCUAUUGGAAAAGACACCUCCAGAAGGGCUCUCUUCAACCUCGCUGGAAAGGCCCCUAUCAGGAGCUGCCUGGAGGGGUUAGUUCUGUGCAGGGGAAGGAGUCCUACACAGCGUGCCCUGCACCCAUGCCUGGCUGCGCCUAACCAGUGAGGGUGCUGCUCUCUGAAGGCUGGAUUUUGGAGCAGAAAGCAAGCACGGGCCAAACUGGUUUUAACUUGCAAACCAGCAGAAAUGAUAGGAAAGAUUCCCAAGCUAGAGCUGCAAAGCCUCUGAUGUCCUAAAGAAGGUAAGCCUCCUAUUUGGAACAUUAGUCCAAAAGGGACAGAGUCAAACGAAAUCCCUAAGGAAACAAUCAUAGUUCAUUUGGGACCUUCUUUUUUUCCACCCACUUUAAUUAAAAAGUCAGAUAACAAAGCUGUAACUUAUUUCCGAUUAAAUAUUGAGAUGAGCAUAAUCCACAUUUGCUGCCAAUCAAGGUAUUUUAAAG